rnacentral:tRNA from 1 species
AGUAGAAUGACUGAGAUAAAAUAGGUAAUAGAUUGUAAAUCUAUAAAGGAGAAGUUUCUCUUCUACUA